UUCUUUCUCACGGGUGUGAUUCUCUCGUCUAUCCAGAAAAUGUAUCUCUCGAGUGUCUAAGUUCACAUCAUACCCCUUUUUUAAAAAAAAGAUUCAUCCUCUAAUCAUCAUCUAUACCAAAAGAAAAAGAUUUAAAACAUUAAAAGUAGAGAACACUCCAUAGUCACUUGGGAGAUCAAUCUUGUUAGCGUUGCGUUGACGCACUCUAAGAUUUCCAUUACUUAAGAUGUGACAUCCCAGGU
rnacentral:lncRNA from 1 species